rnacentral:lncRNA from 1 species
GAAUUGGAGGCUCAGCUUUUUCGGUUCAAAAACCCAGGCUUGUGCAUGGAUACUGGGCCAGCUUGAGAACAGAUUGUCUAAAUCACAUUCUGAUAGUUGGGGCAGGGCAGCUAUCAGAGGCCGCGAAGUUAGACAGAAGACGGCCCCAGUCUUCACCUUAUUCAAUAUUCCUUUCUAAUUUUAUAUCCUGUUCACACUGCAAAAGUUGGCGCUACAAGUGAUUAAAGGAAAAUAUGCAAAACAAAUAAAAAUAAAAAUAGCGAGGCUCGGUAUGAUUCAUGUGUUCUUUGCUCUUCCUCAUUGUGAUGUCCGUGUUUCUAGUAAAUACCCGAUGCUUUAGUGCGGUCAAGUGGGGGCGGCCCAAGUAUAUGUCAUUUAUCCCAAUUUAUCAGGUGCAAGAAAAUGCAAUUCUAUGCUGA